GACGUAGGGCGCGAGCGUUGUCCGGAUUUAUUGGGCGUAAAGAGCUCGUAGGCGGCUUGUCGCGUCGUCCGUGAAAACCCACAGCUCAACUGUGGGCUUGCGGUCGAUACGGGCAGGCUAGAGUUCGGUAGGGGAGACUGGAAUUCCUGGUGUAGCGGUGAAAUGCGCAGAUAUCAGGAGGAACACCGGUGGCGAAGGCGGUUCUCUGGGCAUGUCCUGACGCUGAGGAGCGAAAGUGUGGGGAGCGAACAGG
rnacentral:rRNA from 1 species